rnacentral:rRNA from 1 species
GACGAACGCUGGCGGCGUGCUUAACACAUGCAAGUCGAGCGGUAAGGCCCUUUCGGGGUACACGAGCGACGAACGGGUGAGUAACACGUGGGUGACCUGCCCUUAGCUCUGGGAUAAGCCUGGGAAACUGGGUCUAAUACCGGAUAUGACUCCAUGACGCAUGUUGGUGGGGUGGAAAGCCUUGUGCGGCUAGGGAUGGGCCUGCGGCCUAUCAGCUUGGUUGGUGGGGUGANGGCCUACCAAGGCGACGACGGGUAGCCGGCCUGAGAGGGCCGACCGGCCACACUGGGACUGAGACACGGCCCAGACUCCUACGGGAGGCAGCAGUGGGGAAUCUUGCGCAAUGGGCGAAAGCCUGACGCAGCGACGCCGCGU